AACGCUAGCUACAGGCUUAACACAUGCAAGUCGAGGGGCAGCGGGAAGCAAGCUUGCUUGCUUUGCCGGCGACCGGCGUACGGGUGCGUAACGCGUACCGAACCUACCUCACACUCCGGGAUAGCCCUGCGAAAGCAGGAUUAAUACCGGGUAGCCUCACUAUAUCGCAUGAUAUUAUGAGUAAAGAUUUAUUGGUGUGAGAUGGCGGUGCGUCCCAUUAGUUAGUUGGCGGGGUAACGGCCCACCAAGACGACGAUGGGUAGGGGUUCUGAGAGGAAGGUCCCCCACAUUGGAACUGAGACACGGUCCAAACUCCUACGGGAGGCAGCAGUGAGGAAUAUUGGUCAAUGGCCGCAAGGCUGAACCAGCCAAGUAGCGUGCAGGAAGACGGCCCUCGGGUUGUAAACUGCUUUUAGUCGGGAAUAAAAGGGCGCACGUGUGCGUCGUAUUGCAAGUACCGUCAGAAAAAGGACCGGCUAAUUCCGUGCCAGCAGCCGCGGUAAUACGGAAGGUCCGGGCGUUAUCCGGAUUUAUUGGGUUUAAAGGGAGCGUAGGCGGUCUGGUAAGUCAGCUGUGAAAACGCGGGGCUCAACCGUGGCACUGCAGCGCGAACUGGGGGGCUUGAGUGCACGCAACGCAGGCGGAAUUCGUGGUGUAGCGGUGAAAUGCUUAGAUAUCACGAAGAACUCCGAUUG
rnacentral:rRNA from 1 species